CCCAAGAAAUACUCCAAAAUUAAUUUCAAAUAAAGAAAUGACAUAUAAUGUAAAAAACACUUAAAGGUUCUGGAGCACCUGGCUUGUAUGUACCAUUGUUAUUUUGCUAUAUUUAUAAAAUGGGUUCUUUGUACCCAUAGAAAGACACUGCCCCAGUGAGACAGGCUGAGCUACUUCCCCAGAGCUGUGUGCUCAGCAGAGGCCCCAGCAGCAUUUGAGCAAUUUAGCACUUUCCAGGAAGCCAGACAAACUAACACAGCCUGUUUAUUUCCUCUUUCUUUCAGUACUCCCACGCUGGUGCCUCUGUAAAGGAAAAUAUUGAUGGAUCUGAAAUAUGUACGACAUAGGCUCUGAGUCCAUGGUAGUUGUACCCUAGCAAGCUGUUUCUGAGGCUGUUUCCUUUAACAGAAUUGGGCUGGGUGAUCUAAGUGGCAGGAAAUGGGAACAGGGAGCCGGUGGGUCCACAGAGAAGUCCUGAGGUAGGGGAGCGAUCAGAUGCAGUGUCGACUCCUCCAGCAAAAGCCAAAAUGAGGAUGUGUCAAAGGUGCUGUCCCCACUCCCACCCUCCAUCCCUUCUGUAAGCAUAAAUAAAAUCACAUUGCCUCA